rnacentral:sRNA from 1 species
GAUAACGUUGCUUAGCAACGGCCCGAAGGGCGAGGCGCAGCCGAGUAAUCCUCCCGGAUGCACCA